rnacentral:sRNA from 1 species
UAUCUCUCCGUACGGGGAAGGAUGAGAAGCUUCGAUUAAGGUUCGAUUCGAGCGCAGCGAGAAAGCGUUGCCGCAGGCAACGACCCGAAGGGUGAGGAGCGGAGCGACGAAUAAUCCUUCCCCCACCACCA